AUUGAACGCUGGCGGCAGGCCUAACACAUGCAAGUCGAACGGUAACAGAGAAAGACUUUCUUCUUUGCUGACGCGAGGGGCACGGGUGAGUAGUGUCUGGCAGAAUCUCUGUUUGCGGGGGAUAACACCUAGAAACACUAACUCUUAUCGCGUAUAGUACCUACGCGAAAAAGCAGGGGAUCUGCGCACCUUGCGCUCUUGAGUGCGCCGAUGUCGGAUUAGCUAGUUGGGGGGGUAAAGGCCCACCAAGGCGACGAUCCGUAGCUGGUCUGAGAGGAUGAUCAGCCACACUGGAACUGAGACACGGUCCAGACUCCUACGGGAGGCAGCAGUGGGGAAUAUUGGACAAUGGGCGCAAGCCUGGUCCAGCCAUGCCGCGUGGAUGAAGAAGGCCUUCGGGUUGUAAAGCACUUUUGUUGGGAAAGAAAAGAAGAAAGUUAAUACCCCGCUGCAUUGACGGUACCCAAAGAAUAAGCACCGGCUAACUUCGUG
rnacentral:rRNA from 1 species